rnacentral:rRNA from 1 species
UGGGGAAUAUUGCACAAUGGGCGAAAGCCUGAUGCAGCGACGCCGCGUGAGCGAAGAAGUAUUUCGGUAUGUAAAGCUCUAUCAGCAGGGAAGAAAAUGACGGUACCUGACUAAGAAGCUCCGGCUAAAUACGUGCC